rnacentral:rRNA from 14 species
CUACUACCGAUUGAACGGUCGCAUUGAGGUCUUCGGAGUGGACGCGCGUUAUAACGGCCCCCUCGGGGGCUGGGUCGUCGCGCGAUCGCGAAGAUGACCGAAAUCGGCCGUUUAGAGGAAGUAA